AGAGUUUGAUCAUGGCUCAGGAUGAACGCUGGCGGUAUGCUUAACACAUGCAAGUCGAACGAAAUCUUCGGAUUUAGUGGCGGACGGGUGAGUAACGCGUGAGAAUCUACUCUUAGAUUGGGGACAACAGUUGGAAACGACUGCUAAUACCGAAUGUGCCGAAAGGUAAAAGAUUUAUCGUCUGAGAAUGAGCUCGCGUUGGAUUAGCUAGUUGGAGUGGUAAUGGCACACCAAGGCGACGAUCCAUAACUGGUCUGAGAGGAUGACCAGUCACACUGGGACUGAGACACGGCCCAGACUCCUACGGGAGGCAGCAGUGGGGAAUUUUCCGCAAUGGGCGAAAGCCUGACGGAGCAAUACCGCGUGAGGGAGGGAGGCUCUUGGGUCGUAAACCUCUUUUAUUAGGGAAGAAGAUCUGACGGUACCUGAGAAUCAGCUCGAUGCGCC
rnacentral:rRNA from 1 species